rnacentral:lncRNA from 1 species
CAGCACACUAAAUCCCCCUGUGCAAUUCAUGUAUGACGCUCUUUACAAUCACAAUCCAUUAUUUACUCUAUUGUCACGACCCAAAGUACACCCUGGAGGUGAUAUGGCGUAUAAGACCUCGAGAGGCCCUACACAAGCCACUUGACAUACAUACGACAUGUACAACAUAAUAGCAAUACGAGAAUUAAAGGUAGAAAGUUUCAUAUUAUAAUAGUUUGAUAUACAAGCGGAAGUCUAAUCAUAGUCUCGACAAGACAAUCUUAUCCAUCAUGGUUGGGACGAUUCCAUACACCACAUACAACGUCUGAAAACUAAUGACAUAAGAAAAACAUAGUAAAAGUGACAUGGUCCUCGGAACGUGAGGACUCACCAAGUCUUCAACCUCGAAAUGAUCAACCAACCACGGCGGGAGGAGAAAGAUCGUCGGACCCUACAUUUGUCAAACAAUGUAGGCACAAGUAUUCAUUAGUACAUGGAAUGUACGAAAGUAUGAGGGAUAUGCAAAAAAACAUGAAACAUGAUCAUAAAGGGACAUAUAUAAAAGAAAACAUGAUAUGCAUGACCAAGCUAAACAUAGUAAAAACUUUUAAAGAAAGAUCAUAAGUCAUGAACAUGGUCAAUGCAUCAUAAAAUUAUAAGAAAGGCUUCAUAAAAUCUUUAAGAACAACUUAUAGUUCAUUUUGUGGGAUAUUUACUAUUAACCGAUAUAGACCACAUGAGCUAUAAAGUGGAAUUUGGUGUCUUGCUCCCACACCGAAAAGAGAUGUCCUUACUUGCCAAGGCAAGGACCUUAACUUCUAGCUUAUGUGGAUCCACUAGCUAUGUCAAAUAAGACAAUCCUAUGGGGGCACGCAGUUAGGGACAAUGAGAUUGCUACUAGAGACUCGACCUCUACUAGCGGGAGAACCUCUAUCUCAAUAUCCUCUCGGUGCUAAGUAAAAUCCCAACGAAACUAGUCAUAAACAUAAAUAUAUCAUCAUACAUGGAAAAUCACAAUUAAGUUUCGAAUCCAAGCUUAAAACAUCAUAGAGUAGCUCCUUAAACUAUGUGUAAGAAAAUCUUCCACUAAUCAUGAUUCCUUAAUGUGAGAAAACCUUUCACAAUUUCAUUGAUGCUUAUUUUGAAGUAACCUAGAUCAUGAAACAUUCAUUUUCAUAAAUCAUGCAUAACUUUCAUGAAAACUUCAUUCAUAUAUUCAUAGUUUCUUCAUAAAUACAUGCCUUUAAGAGUUCAUAGUCAAAAUUAUGAAAAAUGCAUGAGUUUGUAUGAAAUCAAUUGAAAAGCAUGUAAUUGAGUCAAAACAAUCAUAAUAAGAUCAAAAUCCAACAAUUGAUUCAAACACAAUUAGAACCCAUGAAGAAUUGAAUGAAAACCUAAUCAACUUUGGUGAAAUUGAACUUGGAGAAGUUGGGGAAUCUUGGGGCUCAAUGGGUGACCAUUGAUGAAACCCUACAUACCUUGAGGAUCAAAGCCCAAAAGCAAUUGGAAGAAUUGGAGACUUGAAGCUUGAAACCCUAGGAGUUCUUCCUUGAUCUUGAGAGAAUUUGGAGAGGAUGAAUGUGGAUGGGAAUUGGGGAUUUGAGUGGAUGAGAGAGUUGGGGUAAUUUUAAGGGUAGAAGGGUAG